ensembl:lncRNA novel transcript
ACUCACGCGGAGCCAAUCGGAACUCGCGGCGGGGUUGCUGGGUCUUCCAGGAUCGCGCAUUAGCGGACGCUGGCUACGGGUGGCCGGGCGGGAUGUAACCGGCUGCUGAGCUGGCAGUUCUGUGUCCCCAGGCUUCGGCCCGGCCGCCGCCGCACAUAAACUGCGAGGAGGAGCUUUACGACUUCUCGGUCUUCGGGGCCGGGCGCAGCAAGGGCCAGACUCUGCGCUAGCAGGCGCUGCGCGCCAACCGGCCGGCCCCUGUCGCAGAAGGUGCAACCGAUCGCACUGUCGCGCAGAAGCUCCUCAAUGGCCAGCGCCAGCUGCAGCCCCGGCUGCCCACUCGCCUCACCUGAGCCUGGGUGGAACAAUCCAAAGUUUUAAUCAAAGAAGGUGGUAUUCAGUUGCUGCUUACAAUAGUUGAUACCCCAGGAUUUGGAGAUGCAGUGGAUAAUAGUAAUUGCUGGCAGCCUGUUAUCAAUUACAUUGAUAGUAAAUUUGAGGACUACCUAAAUGCAGAAUCGCAAGUGAACAGAUGUCAGAUGCCUGGUAACAGGGUGCACUGUUGUUUAUACUUCAUUGCUCCUUCAGGACAUGGACCGUUACAUAACUGAAGACUCCCACCUUCAGGCAGGAUUGGGUAGUACAUGUUUGUAACUACCUGGCAUUGCCUUUUGUUGAGACUUAAACCAUUGGAUAUUGAGUUUACAAAGCAUUUGCAUGAAAAAGUGAAUAUCAUCCCACUUAUUGCCAAAGCAGACACACUCAUGCCAGAGGAAUGCCAACAGUUUAAAAAACAGAUAAAGAAAUCCAAGAACAUAAAGUUAAAAUAUAUGAAUUUCCAGAAACAGAUGAUGAAGAAGAAAAAAAACUUGUUAAAAAGAUAAAGGACCAUUUACCUCUUGCUGUGGUGGGUAGUAAUACUAUCAUUGAAGUUAAUGGCAAAAGGGUCAUAGGAAGGCAGUAUCCUUGGAGUGUUGCUGAAGUUGAAAAUGGUGAACAUUGUGAUUUUACAGUUUUAAGAAAUAUGUUGAUAAGAACACACGCAGGACUUGAAAGAUGUUACUAAUAAUGUCCACUACGAGAACUAUGGAAUCAGAAAACUGGCAGCUGUGACUUAUCAUGGAGUUGAUAACAAGAAGAAUAAAGGGCAGCUCACUAAGAGCCCUCUGGCACAAAUGGAAGAAGAAAGAAGGGAGCAAGUAGCUAAAAUUAAGAAGAUGGAGAUGGAGAUGGAGCAGGUGUUUGAGAUGAAGGUCAAAGAAAAAGUUCAAAAACUGAAGGACUCUGAAGCUGAGGCCUUCAGGAAGUGUCGAGUCUGGGACGCCCAGCGCGGGCCCGAGCAGGGGGAAGGGAAGCGCAGCUCGGUCCGCGUGGGUGGAGGGGACGUGAAGCCGCCCUGAGAUGAUGGUUGAGGAAGGGCUCUACGGCUCCCAAGCUAGGCCAAAUGCCUCCGGCGGCCGCGCCCGGGCGCCCCUUCCCCUGUGGGGCAACCCUAGCUUGGGACGCGUGAACCACCUCCGUAGCUGCCCCACCAGCACCCCCAGCCGUGCGCCCCUGCACCAUGCAGCUGCCCUGCGCAUGGAGCCGCGAGGGACAGCAGGCCCAGCCCUCAGCACCACCUGCCUGCCAGGAGGUUCGGGAAACUGGCGCCGCAGCGGAGAGGGCAUCUGUCCAACGCCUCCCCCGGGGCUCAGCUGCGGGCCCCCAGGCAUAGGCACCCAUGACCCUUCUGUGUUGUUUGUCUUUGUAUAGUCUGCAGAUGUGGAUCCUGACUCCUGAGAGAAGUAGCUCACCGUGACGAAGCUGCGUUUGCUUUUAUCGAUUUGCAAAUCAAAGAAGGGGGACAUAUUGGGAGAAGGCCCCCCAAAAUCUGGCCAUAAACUGGCCACAAAACUGGCCAUAAAAUCUCUGCAGCACUGUGACAUGCUCAUGAUGGCCAUAACGCCCACGCUGGAAGGUUUUGGGUUUACCGGAAUGAAGGCAAGGAACACCUGGCCUGCCCAGGGCAGAAAACCACUUAAAGGCAUUCUUAAACCACAAACAGUAGCAUGAGCGAUCUGUGCCUUAAGGGCAUGUUCCUGCUGCAGAUAACUAGCCAGACCCACCCCUUUAUUUCAGGCCAUCCCUUCAUUUCCCAUAAGGGAUACUUUUAGUUAAUUGAAUAUCUAUAGAAACAAUGCUAAUGACUGGUUUGCUGUUAAUAAAUAAGUGGGUAAAUCUCUGUUCGGGGCUCUCAGCUCUGAAGGCUGUGAGACCCCUGAUUUCCCACUUUACACCUCUA